rnacentral:rRNA from 1 species
UACGAAGGGGGCUAGCGUUGUUCGGAAUCACUGGGCGUAAAGGGCGCGUAGGCGGCCGCUCAAGUCGGGGGUGAAAGCCUGUGGCUUAACCACAGAAUUGCCUUCGAUACUGUUUGGCUUGAGACCGGAAGAGGUUAGUGGAACUGCGAGUGUAGAGGUGAAAUUCGUAGAUAUUCGCAAGAACACCAGUGGCGAAGGCGGCUGACUGGUCCGGUUCUGACGCUGAGGCGCGAAAGCGUGGGGAGCAAACAGG